UUCUGAAUAAGAUGUAUAUACUUCUUGGAAAAAAUUUGCAAAUUGAUUGCAGAUUUCUGUACUAUUUUUCCCUACAUGUUCGUCGAGGUGCAUUUGAGAUGGAAAAUUGUUGCUUUUUAGUUUAGUUUUUGUGUAGUUAAAAAAGUUUUUAGGGCAAGUCUUUAUUUCGUUUUCAAUUUUGCGGUUGUAUUCUUCGUGUGCUGUGUUAAUGGUUAUUUUGAGUUGAUUGCAUAGAUUUAAGUAAUUUUGAAGAUGAGCGUCACUUUUUUCUUGUUUGUAAGUUUUGUGUGCUUUUUGUUUCCUAUUUUUCAAAUGUUUUAGUUGUGAAUUGAACCAUACAGCCACAGAGGAAAGAAGAGUCUCGGAUCUAGAGACCAUCACAAGGAAGCACAACAAGGACGGUUUCGAGAUACCGCAACUCUGCAACAGCUCGUGUGAAGCGGGCCCUUAAAAACAUGCACCAUGAUAAAAUUCUGUAUUAGAUGUACAAUUUAUACGGUAAACCUGAAUAGUCGCCGAAUACGGUAAAAAUCAUACUGUCCGUUUGGUAAAGUUAUCUUCCAAUAACCGAACUUCUGUGAAAACUGAUUGUCAUGAAACUAACUGUCAAACAGUUAUUAAAAUAUUCAGUGAGUGUCUUUUUAUUAACCAAACGAAAAAAAUGUUGAAGGGUUCAUUGAAUGGAUUGAGGCAGAAAAUCAUUUUGUAUCACUAGUCCACUUGCUGCCAACACAAAUUGUUCAAGGAUAAUUUUUGUUGAACUGGACGGAUUGUGCAGUGUUUUGGAAGGCGCUCAUAAUUCCGGUCAGUCGGAACAUCUAACACUUUUUAAAUUUCUCGUGUAAUAUAACCAUUUUCU